rnacentral:lncRNA from 1 species
AAAAGCAGAUCACCCACGACCAGCUGAUCAUCCCUUGCUGGCUCUGCGAUAACGUAGUGCACGCAAAAUGUAUUGGGUUCUCAGGCCUCGUGGGUGACGCAAUUUCGAAGCGUAAUGGUCUGCAUUACAGUUGUGAGGCAUGUCGGUCUAUCGAGAAUGACAUGGUCACGUUUAUGAGGCAGACGCGAAAGGGCUUUAAGGAGCUGACCGUGUGCUUUAAAAAGCAGUACGAUCGGCUUCUAGCCAUGGAAUCUCAAUUCAGCAGUUUUAAAGUGCUGAAUGAGUCUCCCAGGCGCAAAAAAGUCACUCCUCGUGAUCUGCAAGUGCCUGUCCCUCGAUCAACUAUCUCCGUCCACUCCGAUAGUGCAGCAGCUAAUUUCGUUCGCCACUCCAAGGGCAACGACAACUGCUGGUGAUCAAGUUUCGGCUACCGAAUCGAUCGUCUCGGAGAACAUGCAGCCAGUUAGUACUGUAGCGUCCGUGUCUGUCGAGUCCGUUCCAAAGCCCAUCCCAUAUAUUUCGAUCCCACCAGUUAAUAAACGUCCCGGACCACCGGAUAUUGCCGUCACAGGUACCAGAUCUGUGGUGCCAAAACCUCUGGUGGGAGUCCCACCAAAGCGGCAAGUUUUUGUCUCUCGGCUUGCCCCUGACCUCACAUCUAAUGAUGUAACUGCUUUUAUACAAAGCAAAAUAAAAGCCGUUGGCUUAAAGGUGGAGAAGUUUAAUUUCUCUUAUGCCAGGGAGAUAUCCUCUUUCAAGAUUAGCGUGUCUCCAACUCAUUUCGAGACCAUUUGCUCUUCCAAAUUUUGGCCAGAGCACCUGGUUGUGAAAGAGUUUAAGGCUAAGAAGAAAAAUAGGCCCCCCAUAACUCUUCCUAGUAGUGAGGCCAGUGGUCCUUCCUCCUCCGCUCCAUUCUCCUCUUCCCACUGCAAUUCCUUGCAGUCAAAAAACUAACAUCCCUCUUUGUAGCCUAUCAAAAUGCUCGCGGCUUACGUAGUAAGCUGAGCACUCUUUUUAUGGAUAGUUUCACAUUUUCAUCCCAUGUUAUUGUGUUUACCGAAACCUGGUUAAAGCCGGACAUUCUUAGUUCCGAAGUUUUGGCAGAUCGGUACACAACUUAUAGAAAUGAUCGUUCGUCUCGACGUGGAGGAGGGGUUCUGAUUGCAGUAAACUCUAACUUUACGUCGGAACUUUUCAUAGUCCAG